ACCUCAAAUUUUCUAAACAAACACUUGAAUGAAACACACACGCGCCCUCUACUGGUCAAAGAGAUGCAAUGCACCUUGGCUCCUGUCAAGACAGCUGGUGAAUGCAAAAAUCUGAUUACUAAGGAUGAUCAGACAACCUAUCAUUAGAUCUGAUGAUUUUUUUAAACAAAUAUUAUAAAUCUGAUUGUAGAAAAUAGUUUAUAUGUUUUGAUAUAGUUUCAGAUUUUUUUCAUUGUGUAGACCUGCAACAUGCAGUCAAAACAACAACACAAUUUGAUCUCCAAAACCAUUUGUUUAAAAAUCUCAGGCCUGUUCUAAUAAGGGAGCUUAUAGAUUUGCCAAGUAGGCAACUAGUUGUCACCAUCUUCCCUUUAUUCUCAAUCAAAAAAAAGUAAUUAUUAAAGAAAUGAGAAUCCAAUAAAAACCAAUAAGUUACAGGAAAAUUCAAAAGAAAACAGAAGGUAAACAAGGUCUGAUGAGAAGUUCUUCCCAUGUUUGCUAUUGUUAAAAAAAAUCAGGUAACACUGUUUACAUUAUCUUUUUAAUAAUCUGAUAUUUUAAGAAGUUAGGUGAUGAAUAGAAUUUAGUGUGUAUAUACACAUUUACUUAAAAUGUAUCUCAUGGCCUGCAAAUAGUCUUUUUGUAUUGCAUAUUUUAAAGUGAACAUAUGUUGAAAAUAGCUUAGAUAUACACAUUGCAUCUUGUCCCCAAAAUAAAAAAAAGUCUUGGAAAAAAAUCAAGUGAGAAAAACACAAUUUUGUUAUUUUUUGAUACACAGUUGAGAUUAAAUGCAUGUUUAAUAAAAUAGCAAUAACUGUGCAGCUAAUCUAGUCAGACCAGAGGGUUAUGUGUCAUACAGAGGUCACAAUAAAUGCAAUUACUUCUAGUAACUUUUCUUGACUGACAUGGUGUAGGCUAACACAUCUAAAUGGAAGUAUUUUUCUUCAUUUUGAAAAAAAUUGUGAACCGAAAAAAAAGAAAGAAAUAUAUAUAUAAGUCUCCAAACAGUACUGGAAACUUCAUAACGUGAUGCCUCCAUAUGCAAACUGAUGCAAUGUUUGCAUAUAUGAAUUUAUAUUCUAUAUGUAUUUUUCUGUUAGUUAUACUAUCUGAUAGGGAAAAUGUGUUACAAAGGCCAGACACUUAGCCUUCCUGGAACUGACCAGCAGCUCCAAAUAUAUGACGGUUUUAUGGUUUAGACAAUGUCUGUCAUAAAGUUUAUUGUGGUAUGUGAGGGAAAUACAGCUUCAAUAAAAAGGGUAAUGUUUUUCCUGACACUGUUAAUGAUGAGAAUUUAUGAAUGGUUCACAGGUCAAAUUCAAGAGCAGUAUAGCUGCUCUUACUGUACAGCCAAUUUGUAUUUGCUUAGAGGUACUAAAGCCUUUUGUUGUGGGUAGUUUUUAUUUAAUUUUUGAUUUUGCAUGUAAGUACAUAAAAAACCUUUUUUCUGUUGAAAACCUUUGUAACGCUAAUUGAAGUUGAGAAAUCAGAAUUUCCUUCAUUGUCAUUAAAUGCACGAUGAAAUAAUGAUGCUCCGAAAAGUUAAAAAUAUGUAAAAGUCAGAAUUUGAAAUAGAAAAUACAUUUUAAUACAAAAAUCUAAAAUCUAAAGUCUAAAAAUAUAUUCAUCCAGUGUCACUAAAAGAUAAUAAUAGAGUGUGCUGAUGACCAUAUGAAGUAGUAUAGCACUGUAAAUAAUAAAUAACCUAUAAUUGCACUUCUUUAAACACAUCAACAUGAUGUACAUGAGCAAUGAUUAGAAAUAUUGAUAAAAACAACUAUUUAGUUCUUUAUUUUUCUGUGUUUCUGUCUUAGAACUAGCAGUUCACCCAACAAAUCUUUGAAUAUAUUGCACAGUUGAGCAAAAAAGUUUCUCGACAGCAGAGCACUUAUCUUUGAUAAUCCUUAUUCUGGACUUUAAUUUGUGAUAUCAUUUUUUUUUUACCAAUAACUGAUCUGGUUAAUGUUUUAGUUCCAAUAUUUUAAAAAUUAGACUUUUUCCUGCCUUCGAAUGUUUUUUUUUUGAGGUUUUGAAUUUGUUCAGGUCAUCAUUAUAUUAGUUAGGUAAAUAUAAUUUUUCUUUUUUUUGUUUUGCUAAACAGCCAAAGUUUUCAUGGUGUACAUGGAGAGUGUGUGAAAUGUGUAAUCAAAUAUGUGCACAUGUGAGCAUCACACAACUUUUUGGUAGUGAAGUAGGCAUUAUUUAAAUCCUCAGCCGCACUUUUCAUCACAAUAAUGGAACACUCUGCAAUCAUUUAAUUCAUUGCUGAGAGCCCACGUUUGAGACUUGCAGGGGCAAAAUGAGUCAACCAGGAAGUGCAGCGAGAGCAAACAGCAGUAUCAGCCUCUCACAGAUGUGGUUUGAUUGAUGCUCCAAGUACACCUUCUCGCCCUCACCUCAGGACAACAUGUUUGCUUGGUUGUUGAUCACACCCCUCAGUCUUCGUACCUAACUGCCCCCUGACACCAAGAUAUAUCAUUGGUCCCACACUCAGUUGGCUGCAAUGGACGUAUUGAUCCUUUGUGCUUGUGUGGAGGCCACUUUUUAUUUUCAGAAAAUACUUUGAAAGACCAUUAAAGUCAGUCUUUUGGUUCAUGAAGGGUCCAGCUUCAUUAGAGAUGUGAAAGCUUGGCCUUCAGCUCAGUUCACUUCUGGAUAAUUUUGAUUUUUAGCACAGUUCCCUCUUCAUUUACAUAAAAUGGAAUAAAAAAAAAAUCAUUCUUGGUUAACGAUCCUCAUAAAAAGCCUCGAUUUGCCCUGAUUUGCCAUAAAACUGUUCAAUUUUGUUCUUGAUUUUUUUGUGUGACAGAUGAGUGAUGGUAUCACCCGAAGGAAUAGAGAGGGAUGACAUUCUCGUCUGAGCUAUAAUGCAGCACUAACUGUAGAGCCACGAUUAAAUAAUUAACACAGAUUUUAUAUCCAUUUUACAAUCACAAAUUACGGUUUGCCGUAUAUCUGAGCAGCGGCCAGAAAGAACCGUGUCAGCAAAAAUUUCGUGUAUAGUAAAUCUCAUGCAGGAGGGGCCAGUGACUGUAAAUCAAGUGCUGCAAUGUGAAUAUAACCUUUUCCCUUCAUUAGCUGAAAAAAACCCCACAUCAUGAUAAACACUUGUGUGUUCAUUAAUCAGGUACAAUCUUUUUACUAUGCAUGUGUCUCUUUAGUGUCUUUAUGUUGAAACAUUAGCAUCAAGAGUUGUUUUUCUGGAAUUUUCUACAAAAAAAAACAUUUUCAGCAACGCAUCCUAAUGCUCUGUGCUGUCAGGAAUUGACACGAUCAUGCAUGGAUAAAAAUAAAACGACUGUUAUCAGAGGUCAUUGAAUGGAUAUUUAAAACAUAAAAAUCAGAAUGGACACAAAGUAGUGGAGCAAUUAUGAAGUGACCUCUAAAUGCAAAUCCAUUUCUCAAAUGUCUUUUGUUCUCAAUGUCCCCUAGAUGGCGCCAUGGUCCAUGAAAAGUGUGGAUCUUCUUGCAAAUCAUGGCUGUUAAGGUCGACCUUGUCCUGAGAAAGAGUAGAGUCGGCUCCAUGACUCCUCUGGGAACGCCCACCGGCAGUAACCUGGGCUUGGGCAGACGGACGUACGCAAGUGGAAAAUCUGAGGAAAUGGGGAUUCAGAGCAGGGAAACCAGGGAGUCAAUUUAGUCACUGUCUACUACCAUUUCACAUGCAAGUACAAAGCCAAUCUUACAUGUUGGUGUUGACUAGAAUCUCUCUCUGUGGAAUUUAGGGACAGAACAAUUCCUAGCAUCUGUUUCCUGUUCACUUGCAUGGAGGAAACUGAGUGUAAAUCACACCAAAAUAUAAAUAGAAUCAAUCUACAAAAGUUGAAGUUGGUUGGUGUGGCCCUGUAGUUGGAUUUUUUGAUUACUUCGAUUUAUGGGUUUGCUGUGGAAUAUAGAAGAAACGGACUCACAAGACAGCGGUUUGCUAAAAAAAAAGAGAAACAUUUUGUUCUCACUUUUAAACAAAUGACUUGCAGCUUUGGCAGGAUUGUCAUUCAAAAUCAGUAUAAAUAUAUGAAGCAUGAUAAAUAUGCAUACAAAACUUUUUCAAACCCACUGGAUAAAGAUGACAGGAAGUAAUUAUACAAAAUGGGACAAAUCCUAAAUAUUUUCAACCAAAUAAAUUUGCUAAAUUGAACAAUAUGUGCACAAUAUGUGGGAAAAACACAUUUCGAUAUGAAAAGUUUAUUUCUAAAAUCAGUCAAAUUUUUUUUACUUAGCUUGUUUUUAUCAUCCAAUUAAGAUUUUUUUUCAUUCAUAAAAUGUUCCAGAAUUAUGGCUUUUGUUUUCUUCACAUAAAAACAUUCCAUUUGGAAGAUUGAUAGUUUGAUCUCCAGCCCUUCCAUGAGUUGAAAUGUCCUUGAGCAAGACACAGAAUUGGCCACCAUAUGUUCACUGUUGCAUUGUUAUGAUGCAUUGAUUUAUUCAUAAGAAUGACUUUCUGUGUGUGAAAGAGAAACACUGCGUUAUUUAUAGAGUCUAAAUUAAGUUUAAAACAUGAAAAUUCUUUACAAAAUGUGAAAUAACACUUUCCUCACAGGGUAAAAAAAACCGAGACGUUCACUGCAUUAAAGUCCAAGGAGAAGACACAGACAGCGUGUGGUUUAAUAAAAGCCUUUAUUUACUGCUGCUCAGCAGAAAACAACAGUGUUGUGUAUCCCUCUGGCACUAAUUGACUGCCUGCAGCAGAAACAAACUCACUCCUCUCCACCACAGUUGUCUCAGGUGUAAUAAGCACUUGUUUCUCUCUGUGUAUUUCUGAAUUCAUUGGCUUCUACAAACAUGUAUUCAAUUUGAUAUAAGGUGAUUGUAUUAUAAAAUGAAGAUUAGUGUCCCCCUCUCCUGACUUCUCCGUUACAGUAAUCGGUGGUACUCCACAGAAGUUGUGUGCGGUCCAUGCUGGGCUUGUCCCUUCUUCCUGGGUGAGGAAUAAUACAGGGGGUAGGUGCAGGGAGACAAGGGAGAGACAUCUUCCCUUAAUUCCCUUGCACUGGCAACAAAAGACCACAAAAGUGCUGCUUUCACAUUUUUAUGUGGCCCGACGUUGAGCUCCCAGCAGAAGGAGACAAAGGAACGGCGGGAUGAUGAAGUCCCGAGCAUUGCAGGGCAGGUGUUUCCUCUGUCUCCUGGGAGCUGUGGAGCACACCUGCCCAGUACUAACGCACUGUGAUGGAUCAGUGUGGCAGUGGCUGACUCAGCUUUUCAAAAGCUCUAACCGGGAUUAGAGCUCAGAGGACCUGAUUGAAGCACACUGUCAUCCCACAAACAAUAACACACAUCCAUCUUGGACGGCAGGCUUUCCUUUCUCCCCUGCGUCUUCACCGAGAACGAUUGUGGUGUUGAUAGUAAGCGGUGUAGUGUAUUGAACGAGAGGAAACAUUUCAGCAGACAUGUAAUCAAAUGGCACCUUUUGGAUUCUUAGGUGCUUCUGAACACAAAAACACAAGGAGUCAUGAGCACUUAAAUACGCUCACAUAGGAGUACGUCUCCACACCAAUUUUUUUUUUUUUUUUGAAUGAGAUGAUGUUCUAUUUAAAGACGAGCGCUCCAAAGUGUGGUCCCAGGAGUCAGUGACUAAUGUAGUGUAAUAGCCAAUGCUGGCAUGGUGCAACUCGUCCCAAGCAAAUCCUCCCUAGUCUUUUAUCCAGUUAGAGUGUGAUUACUAUCAAUAUAUAUCAACUCACUGAUAGACUUUACAGAAAUCAACGUCAAUCAUAGCACAUUAUGAUCACAAGUAAUUAGUUAUUCUAUUCUAUAGUUGUUGAUGUUUUUGCAUUUAUUUAAAAAUUACAGCGUUUAUCUUUACAUUUGCCUCUUAUAUUUUUUUUUAUUCCCCACUAAUUAAAAUCAUAAUGAUCAUUAUGGCCCCUGCAUGUUCCCAAAAUCCUGCUCCUGGAAUUUAAAAGAUCACAUGCAAUGCUUGGAUGUGACUUUGGAGGGAGCCUUAAGCACUAGAAAAUGAUGGUGAAUUUGAAAACAAAGACCCAAGAAAACUGAAGAGUAUUUCUUUAUUAAACACCUCAGUUUACAGAACAGUUAAUUUACUUAAAUAAUAAAAUUGAAAUCUUUAAAAGUGAACUGAUGAUUGGCUUUAAAAUAUAUAUUUAUGUUUUAUUGUUUCAAUUAAAUUAAAAAUAGCUAUAGCACAGCAUGCAGCAAUAUUCCACUUGCUUACCCAUGAAAUGAUUUAAAUACACUCCAAAUAGUUUUUUAAGUAAUAUUCUCAGGGGUGAAAAAAAGACAAUAUCUAGAAAGAGCAUGCUAUUUCAUCUGCUGGUGGGAUAUGAGAAGAUUUUCUGCUCCUCCGCCCAGCAACCAAAGCUUCCUUAUCUUGUCCUCAUCUGCAUAAACUGUACAAACAAGUGAAACAAGUGGGCCACUUGCCCCACGUGGACCGCCCAGUACAUCCAAUGUACUCACAUGCAGUCGCUGCUUGUUUUGCACUGUGUGCUGCUAAUACACAUGAAUGUAUGAAGCUGCUGCAGGGGGGUGACAUGUGCCUUGUCCAGGUGGCAAUGACAGAUUUAGAGGAUGUUGUGGACAAAGGCUGGCCUAUGGAGGAUAUGUGUGACAUGUAACAUGUAGCAGGGGUGUGGACUGAUGACAUCCUCUGUUUAAUGAGCAGAGACGAUGUUAAAGUGAGCUGCCUGCCGCAGAGAGCUGUAAAUCUGCCCCCUAUCACUGCUGCUCUGCUAAUACAGGAAGUAUUAUCUAAUAAGUGCAACAAGGAGGGCUAAUUUCAUUGGAGCUGAUACCCCCCACAUGCAAGUCUUGGCCUCCUUGAGGUGGAGAGGGUAGCCCUAUUAGGAAAUUGUAUCACUGGGAAGCAAAAGUAGGGUGAGAUUUGUAGGACCAGCAGUGGCUGACACACGUCUCCCUUUAAGUUGUCUACUGCUGAGCUUUCUAAACUCAAACAGACGUAUCCCAGAUGCUUGGUUAACCUGCAUGGGCUGCCAUCGUCUCAUUCCUAGACCAUAUAGGAACUCUAAAGGACCUCUGUUUCCCUGCCCCCUGUUCUGCCCUGUCUAACCCUGAUUUGUGGAGUGCUGGUGUCAAAGGGGGGUACUUUGUAGAUGUUGUGCUCUCUUUACCUGUUUCCCCACAGCAGAAGCAAUAAAUGUCACUGAAUGACGCUUUCUGGACUGUCUCACGCCAAUUGCUGUAAGUUUCUCAAGUAGAUAUUACAAGUAAGGUAUGUUGUUCACUCUUUUAUAUCAUAUUUUGGUACACACAUUUCUGAGACCUCUAUCUCAUUAGCACGAUCAAAACGUUCCUUAAAAACCCAUAACUUGGUCCAUGUUUUCUACGCUGUUGUAGAACAUCAUUCCUCAUGAGGGGCAGUAGAAGGACCUGUCCUGCUCAGUUCAAACUGGCUGGGUCCAUGAAAUCUCAAGACAAAUUGGGCAGAAAAGGGUUUUGUUCAUUUUCAAAACUUUAUGGUGAGAAUAACUCAUAUAUUGGUGUUCAUCUUUUGAAAGAAUGCACAAUUUGUUUAUGAUUCAUUCUUUAUAAUACAGUUACAUAAUGUUUAAAAUGAGCAAAUCAAAUUUGAGACAGUGGGUAAAUGAUUUGCUUUUUCUUCUUGAGCACUCAUGUCAAUAUUACUGGAUUUUAAACCAACAUUGUUGUGAGCCAAAACUGACAAAAUUAUCAAAUGCAACAUAGUUAAAUUUAUAUUUUAUAAAAAAAGCAUUAUUUUUGUGGAUUUUAUUAAAUAAACAUCUUAAUAAAAAAUUCUGGCAACUCUUUCAUGUAGUGGUCAUUACAGGGUUAAUGUCAGUUUUAACCAAUCACAGAAUUCUAAAUAAAACCCUAGUUCUUAUGGCUCAUUUAUUAAAAGCAAGACUUUUUUUUGGUAUGUCUGACAUUUGCAGUAAUGGGACUGUGUUUCUGAGUUUUCCUCCACUGAGCAGGGGGUAAUUGCUGACUAGUCUUUUAACCUUAUUAAAACAUCCAGCGGAGGUGUUGGUGAGAAGAUGAAGUUGAUGAUACUGCACCUCCUGUGUUUUCAGAAAAGAAAGAUGCUGACUGCACUUCAUCCCUGGGAUUAUACACCAAAUUUAAGCAAAGCUGCCACAGCUAAUUAAGGAAAAGGAAGCGCUGUGACAAUCACCAUGGGAGGGAGAUCGGGCUUUACUCAGGGUGUUCUCUCAUUAUUACAUAUAUGUAUAUUUUUCCUGAGAUAAUAAUGCCACUUCUCUUUGCAGAGUUGUUAUUGCGACUGUUUUGGUUAUUGUUUUUACAACCCUGCAAUGUGGCAACUAUCAAUAAAAUUUAUACGAUCUUUAUGCA